UACGUAGGGUGCAAGCGUUAAUCGGAAUUACUGGGCGUAAAGCGUGCGCAGGCGGUUAUGCAAGACAGAGGUGAAAUCCCCGGGCUCAACCUGGGAACUGCCUUUGUGACUGCAUGACUAGAGUACGGUAGAGGGGGAUGGAAUUCCGCGUGUAGCAGUGAAAUGCGUAGAUAUGCGGAGGAACACCGAUGGCGAAGGCAGCCUUCUGGGCCAACACUGACGCUCAUGCACGAAAGCGUGGGGAGCAAACAGG
rnacentral:rRNA from 1 species